rnacentral:lncRNA from 1 species
AACGAAAUGGAUCAUCCCAUUGCAUGGAUAGCACACACAUAAAUCACACAAUGGGCACAGCAAAUACAUUUGCUAGGUGACCCACACUUACACAAAUGUACAUUCAUGUCUGGAUUAGGUUUCAGACUCUAUCCAUAUACAAGUUCACCAUGUCCGCUGAACUUCAGCCACACGAACACACUCCUCUCCUCAAUUCAAAGUAAACA